UACGUAGGUGGCAAGCGUUGUCCGGAUUUACUGGGCGUAAAGGAUGCGUAGGUGGUUAUUUAAGUCAGAUGUGAAAUACCCGAGCUUAACUUGGGUGCUGCAUUUGAAACUGGAUAUCUAGAGUGCAGGAGAGGUAAGUGGAAUUCCUAGUGUAGCGGUGAAAUGCGUAGAGAUUAGGAAGAACACCAGUGGCGAAGGCGACUUACUGGACUGUAACUGACACUGAGGCACGAAAGCUAGGGGAGCAAACAGG
rnacentral:rRNA from 1 species